rnacentral:ribozyme from 1 species
CAAACAACAACACACAAAGAAAAAGAUGUCGG